GAUGAACGCCGGCGGCGUGCCUAAUACAUGCAAGUCGAGCGAAUGGAUCAAGAGCUUGCUCUUAUGAAGUUAGCGGCGGACGGGUGAGUAACACGUGGGUAACCUGCCCAUAAGACUGGGAUAACUCCGGGAAACCGGGGCUAAUACCGGAUAACAUUUUGAACCGCAUGGUUCGAAAUUGAAAGGCGGCUUCGGCCGUCACUUAUGGAUGGACCCGCGUCGCAUUAGCUAGUUGGUGAGGUAACGGCUCGCCAAGGCAACGAUGCGUAGCCGACCUGAGAGGGUGAUCGGCCAAACUGGGACUGAGACACGGCUCAGACUCCUACGGGAGGCAGCAGUAGGGAAUCUUCCGCAAUGGACGAAAGUCUGACGGAGCAACGCCGCGUGAGUGAUGAAGGCUUUCGGGUCGUAAAACUCUGUUGUUAGGGAAGAACAAGUGCUAGUUGAAUAAGCUGGCACCUUGACGGUACCUAACCAGAAAGCCACGGCUAACUACGUGCCAGCAGCCGCCGUAA
rnacentral:rRNA from 1 species